UCCUUCCAGAUAAGAUAAAUUUCAAAUAAGUAGAAACUAAUGUAGGUUUCAGAAAUCCAGCACCAUUCAAGUAAAAUUGGACAGAACUGUGGAGUAUGAAACUGGGCACUAAGUACAGAUUGGCAUCGACAAACUUUGUAAGUUCAGCUUAUUUCACCACAGACGAGAUUCCGAGAGGCUUGGCUACCAUCGACUUCGCUUGUUUGCUUGACUGGUUGCCAUCAGGAAUCAAGAAUCAUCCAGCACUCUAACAAAAAAUUCAGCACCUAGCAAUCCACAAUGCAUACAAUUGGUAAUUGGGAUUCCAGUUGGCAAUAUUUUUUAUCGUAGGGUAACAACUGUGCCAGAACUACUCGGACACGAGAUUCGGUUAUCUUAAAGCUUCAGCCGAGGAAGAAUCCACAAGAGCUUUUGCCUGCACAACAUAAAGACAUAACCAGUUGACCAAGGGGGAAAUGCAAUAUUUACUCCUUAACCCAAUGAAUCCAACUAAACAGCUAGAAAGCAUUCUUCACUUUUAGAUGUUAAGGAUCUGGAAGCCUAAAUUCAAGAAG
rnacentral:lncRNA from 1 species